rnacentral:rRNA from 1 species
GCAGUCGAACGAACUUAACCAUUAGUUUACUAUUGGAGCGGUUAGUGGCGGACUGGUGAGUAACACGUAAGCAACCUGCCUAUCAGAGGGGAACAACAGUUAGAAAUGACUGCUAAUACCGCAUAUGCCUUAGAAUCACAUGGUUCAAAAGGGAAAGGAGCAAUCCGCUGAUAGAUGGGCUUGCGUCUGAUUAGCUAGUUGGUGGGGUAACGGCCUACCAAGGCGACGAUCAGUAGCCGAACUGAGAGGUUGAACGGCCACAUUGGGACUGAGAUACGGCCCAGACUCCUACGGGAGGCAGCAGUCGGGAAUAUUGCGCAAUGGAGGAAACUCUGACGCAGUGACGCCGCGUGCAGGAAGAAGGUUUUCGGAUUGUAAACUGCUUUAGACAGGGAAGAACAAAGACAGUACCUGUAGAAUAAGCUCCGGCUAACUACGUGCCAGCAGCCGCGGUAAUACGUAGGGAGCGAGCGUUAUCCGGAUUUAUUGGGUGUAAAGGGUGCGUAGACGGGAAGUCAAGUUAGUUGUGAAAUCCCUCGGCUUAACUGAGGAACUGCAACUAAAACUGAUUUUCUUGAGUACUGGAGAGGAAAGUGGAAUUCCUAGUGUAGCGGUGAAAUGCGUAGAUAUUAGGAGGAACACCGGUGGCGAAGGCGACUUUCUGGACAGAAACUGACGUUGAGGCACGAAAGUGUGGGGAGCAAACAGGAUUAGAUACCCUGGUAGUCCACACCGUAAACGAUGGAUACUAGGUGUAGGGGAUAUUAAAAUUCUCUGUGCCGCCGCUAACGCAAUAAGUAUCCCACCUGGGGAGUACGGCCGCAAGGU